AUUGCCUCUCGGCCUUUUGGCUAAGAUCAAGUGUAAUAUCUGUUCUUAUCAGUUUAGCAUCUGAUACGUCCUCUAUCCGAGGACAAUAUAUUAAAUGGAAUUUUGGAGCAGGGAGUUGGACUAGGAACUUGCUCUGUCCACACCACACAUCGACCUGGUAUUACAGUGCCUCCAGGAACAGUGCAAAACGA
rnacentral:snRNA from 1 species